rnacentral:lncRNA from 1 species
AUCCAAUGACUUGUCAGCCAGAGUAACGGCUGUUGUCAGGUCUUCAGGGUCUCGAGGUCGGUUUCUUCCUAACGCCGCCAACCCCAAGCUAAGGUAGACAUGAUCGCCAAGGCAGCUGAUUGUCCCAAGGAAUAAGUAUGAGCAAUGAGCACAGAGGGAAAAUCAUGAAACAUCUGAGGACCAUGAGAACUGCUAAAACAAUACGUAGAACUAGCUAUACCAGAGAAAGUCAAGUGAAUGGAUCAGACAAUAAGAAUUGAAAAUAAGCUUAAUAGAGCUUCAGAGAAAGAAGGGAGAAUGUUGGAAACACAAAGCACAAACAAGCAUUUGUGAAUUGGAUGUUGACAAAUAUUAAUGAAAUAACUCAAUGGAUGGGUUGAAUAUAGCUGGACAGUUCACUCAUGAACCGGAAGAUUAGAGCAAGGAAGGAACUAAGAAAUGGAAAGCAUGAAAGGAGAGUUAAGAAAUGUGGAAGGUAGAAGCAUAAAUAUUUUUCUAAUGGAAAUUCCAGAAGGGGAAAAAAAGAACAUGUGAAAGAAUUAUUGCUGAGAAUUUCCCAGAAUUGAAGACAUACUUUAGAAUGAAAAAGGCCAACUCUAACUUUGGGAUUUCUAGCUUCAGAGAAAUGAAAAUUUAGAAUGACCAAGGGGA